rnacentral:tmRNA from 1 species
GGGGAUGAUCGGUUUCGACGUCGUCAGCAGAGUCACGAGAAGCGGGUCGAGAAAGCGGAGUCAACUCGAAAAUGUCCUCCGCGCAACAUAGGUGCCGAACUUAAGCGCACUGAUCACGUUCUCGCCGCUUAGGCGAAGCAUCACGUGAUCCGCCGUUCUAGCAAUUGCCUCUAGCUAGCACCGGCGUCAUAAAGGGGAAUAGCCGUGUAGAUACGCCUUGUGGCUACAUGGGUCACCAAGCAAGGCUGGGCUUGUCGACCGCAGGUGCCCUGACCAGGGUCGGAGCCGAGUAAAGCGAUUUAGGGAUACACUCGUAGAAGGCGUAACAGUGCAACGGCGGACCGGGGUUCGAUUCCCCGCAUCUCCACAC